AUUGAGGCACUGGUUCUCGUAAGAUCAUCGAAGUUAAGCAACAUUGAGGCUGGUCAAUACUUAGAUGGGUGACUGCUUGAGAAUACCAAGUGAAG